UGUUUAUCAAAAACAUGGCCUUUUGAAAAUUUAUAUAAAAGGUUGGGCCUGCCCAGUGAUCUGAAAUGGUUUAACGGCUGCGAUUGAAACCGUACUAAGGUAGCAUAAUAAUUUGCCCUUUAAUUGGGGGAGAGAAUGAAUGGUUUGACGGUAAAAAAGCUGUUUUAAAAAUAAUUAAAGAAGUUAACUUUUAAGUGAAAAGGCUUAAGUUUUUAUAAAAGACGAGAAGACCCCGUCGAGCUUAAUUAGGAUAGCUUUAUUUAAAAGAUAUCUAAAAUUUUAUUGGGGCAAUAGAAAAUGAAAAGAAUCAUUUUUUAUAGAAUAAGGAUCCAGUUUUGACUGAAAAAAGCAAAAGCUACCGCGGGGAUAACAGGGUAAUUUUUUCUGAGAGUUCAUAUUUAAGAGAAAGUUUGCUACCUCGAUGUUGGAUUAAAAUUUCUUUAUGCUUGCAGCAGGUAUAAUAGUAGGACUGUUCGUCCUUUAAAU
rnacentral:rRNA from 1 species